CUGAGGCAUGGGUGUGUCCAGAGGUGGCCUAUCAGCUGUGUAAAGACCUUUUAAAAGCAGGCUAGCUGAGCACUGAAGGAGGAAGGCCCAGAGUGGAAGAGGAAUGCUAGAUGGCCAGCGGGACACGACAGCCAGUUGGACAGUGUGAAGGGCGACAGUGGGAGACGCUGCCUGUUAUCGACCGCCGGGCAGAGGCGUACCUCUGCCGGCAUAUAGGAGACGUCGUUCAGGCUGCAGGACUAACGUUAUAAGAGGACCAGCUGUUACUGUGAAUGUCUGUCCUUACAUCAACUGGAUAAACCAGAAAAUUAAUCCAAGAAGUAAUUGAAAAUAACUAAAUGAAAAUAACAUUCAGAAUAAACAAUCAUCUCUACAUGAAA